UACGGAGGGUGCAAACGUUGCUCGGAAUCAUUGGGCGUAAAGCGCACGUAGGCGGCUCGUUAAGUCGGAUGUGAAGCCCUGGGCUCAACCCAGGAAGUGCAUUCGAAACUGGCGAGCUUGAAUAUGGAAGAGGGUCGCGGAAUUCCCGGUGUAGAGGUGAAAUUCGUAGAUAUCGGGAGGAACACCAGUGGCGAAGGCGGCGACCUGGGCCAAUAUUGACGCUGAGGCACGAAAGCGUGGGGAGCAAAC
rnacentral:rRNA from 1 species